rnacentral:rRNA from 1 species
ACGCUCGACACCUACGGGAGGCAGCAGUGGGGGAUAUUGCACAAUGGGGGAAACCCUGAUGCAGCAACGCCGCGUGAGGGAAGACGGUUUUCGGAUUGUAAACCUCUGUCAUCGGUGACGAUAAUGACGGUAGCCGAUGAGGAAGCUCCGGCUAACUACGUGCCUGCAGCCGCGGUAAUCUGAGCGGGCUGGCAAGGC